rnacentral:rRNA from 1 species
UACGUAGGGUGCAAGCGUUGUCCGGAAUUAUUGGGCGUAAAGAGCUCGUAGGUGGCGGGUCACGUCGGGUGUGAAAGCCCGGGGCUUAACCCCGGGUCUGCAUUCGAUACGGGCUUGCUAGGGUCCGGCAGGGGAGACUGGAAUUCCUGGUGUAGCGGUGAAAUGCGCAGAUAUCAGGAGGAACACCGGUGGCGAAGGCGGGUCUCUGGGCCGGUACCGACGCUGAGACGCGAAAGCGUGGGGAGCAAACAGG